rnacentral:tRNA from 1 species
CCUGGUGGCUCAGAGGGUAAAGCGUCUGCCUGCAAUGCAGGAAACUGGGGUUCGAUCCCUGGGUCAGGA